AUUGAACGCUGGCGGCGGGCCUAACACAUGCAAGUCGAACGAUUGGCGGACGGGUGAGUCAUGUCUGUGAAACUGCCUGAUGGAGGGGGAUAACUACUGGAAACGGUAGCUAAUACCGCAUACCAUCGGAUGUUCCCAGAUGGGAUUAGCUAGUAGGGGGGGUAAAGGCUCACCUCGGCGACGCUCCCUAGCUGGUCUGAGAGGAUGACCGGCCCCACUGGAACGGAGACACGGUCCAGACUCCUACGGGAGGCAGCAGUGGGGAUUAUUGCACAAUGGGCGAAAGCCUGAUGCAGCCAUGCCGCGUAGAUUAAGAAGGCCUUCGGGGUGUAAAGUACUUUCAGCGGGGAGGCGUUACCCGCAGAAGAAGCACCGGCUAACUCCGUGCCAGCAGCCGCGGUAAUUC
rnacentral:rRNA from 1 species